rnacentral:rRNA from 1 species
UUCGAGGGUGUUAUACAGGUGCUGCAUGGCUGUCGUCAGCUCGUGCCGUGAGGUGUUGGGUUAAGUCCCGCAACGAGCGCAACCCUUGUGACUAGUUGCCACUUCCACUUCGGUGGGAAGCACUCUAGUCAGACUGCCCGUGAUAAGCGGGAGGAAGGUGGGGAUGACGUCAAGUCCGUAUGGCCUUUAUGCCCAGGGCUGCACACGUGCUACAAUGGAUGGUACAGAAGGACGCAAGACCGCGAGGUGGAGCAAAUCCCCAAAACCAUCCACAGUUCAGAUUGGAGUCUGCAACUCGACUCCAUGAAGCUGGAAUCGCUAGUAAAGGCGUAUCAGCUACGACGCCUUGAAUACGUUCCCGGGCCUU